rnacentral:rRNA from 1 species
UUGCUACUUUGCUGACGAGCGGCGGACGGGUGAGUAAUGCUUGGGAACAUGCCUUGAGGUGGGGGACAACAGUUGGAAACGACUGCUAAUACCGCAUAAUGUCUACGGACCAAAGGGGGCUUCGGCUCUCGCCUUUAGAUUGGCCCAAGUGGGAUUAGCUAGUUGGUGAGGUAAUGGCUCACCAAGGCAACGAUCCCUAGCUGGUUUGAGAGGAUGAUCAGCCACACUGGAACUGAGACACGGUCCAGACUCCUACGGGAGGCAGCAGUGGGGAAUAUUGCACAAUGGGCGAAAGCCUGAUGCAGCCAUGCCGCGUGUGUGAAGAAGGCCUUCGGGUUGUAAAGCACUUUCAGUCAGGAGGAAAGGGUGUGAGUUAAUACCUCACAUCUGUGACGUUACUGACAGAAGAAGCACCGGCUAACUCCGUGCCAGCAGCCGCGGUAAUACGGAGGGUGCGAGCGUUAAUCGGAAUUACUGGGCGUAAAGCGUACGCAGGCGGU